rnacentral:rRNA from 1 species
GUGAGGAAUAUUGCGCAAUGGAGGCAACUCUGACGCAGCCAUGCCGCGUGCAGGAAGAAGGCGCUACGCGUUGUAAACUGCUUUUAACCGGGAAGAAACCCCAGGACGUGUCCUGGGUUGACGGUACCGGAGGAAUAAGCACCGGCUAACUUCGUGCCAGCAGCCGCGGUAAUACGAAGGGUGCAAGCGUUAUCCGGAUUCAUUGGGUUUAAAGGGUGCGUAGGCUGAGCGUUAAGUCAGUGGUGAAAUCCUGCAGCUUAACUGUAGACUUGCCAUUGAUACUGGCGCUCUUGAGUGCGCUUGAAGUGGGCGGAAUGUGCCGUGUAGCGGUGAAAUGCUUAGAUAUGGCACAGAACACCAAUUGCGAAGGCAGCUCACUAAGGCGAUACUGACGCUGAGGCACGAAAGCGUGGGGAUCGAACAGGAUUAGAUACCCCUGUAGUCC